rnacentral:rRNA from 1 species
GAUGAACGCUGGCGGCGUGCUUAACACAUGCAAGUCGAACGGGACUAUUUUCAAACAAAGCUUCGGCCGAGGGAGGAUUUAGUCUAGUGGCGGACGGGUGAGUAACGCGUGAGCAACCUGCCCUUCAGUGGGGGACAACAGCUGGAAACGGCUGCUAAUACCGCAUAUUGCACAUGGGUCGCAUGGCCCGUGUGUGAAAGAUUUAUCGCUGAAGGAUGGGCUCGCGUCUGAUUAGCUAGUUGGUGGGGUAACGGCCCACCAAGGCGACGAUCAGUAGCCGGACUGAGAGGUUGAACGGCCACAUUGGGACUGAGAUACGGCCCAGACUCCUACGGGAGGCAGCAGUGGGGAAUAUUGCACAAUGGGGGAAACCCUGAUGCAGCGACGCCGCGUGAGUGAAGACGGCCUUCGGGUUGUAAAGCUCUGUUGUGGGGGACGAUAAUGACGGUACCCCAUUGGAAAGCCACGGCUAACUACGUGCCAGCCGCCGCUGUAACAC